rnacentral:rRNA from 1 species
UUGAUCCUGGCUCAGAAUCAACGCUGGCGGCGUGCCUCAGACAUGCAAGUCGAACGAUUAAACUUUCCUUCGGGAAAGAUAUAAAGUGGCGCACGGGUGUGUAACACGUAAGUAAUCUGCCUUCGAGUGGGGAAUACCUUCGGGAAACCUAAGAUAAUACCGCAUAAUGCAGCGGCACCGCAAGGUGACAGUUGUUAAAUGAGCAAUCCGCUUGAAGAGGAGCUUGCGGCAGAUUAGCUAGUUGGUAAGUUAACGGCUUACCAAGGCUACGAUCUGUAUCCGGUCUAAGAGGACGGUCGUACACACUGACACUGAAUAACGGGUCAGACUCCUACGGGAGGCAGCAGUCUGGAAUUUUGGGCAAUGGGCGAAAGCCUGACCCAGCAACGCCGCGUGAAGUAUGAAGUAUUUCGGUAUGUAAACUUCGAAAGAAUGGGAAGAAUAAAUGAUGGUACCAUUUAUAAGGUCCGGCUAACUACGUGCCAGCAGCCGCGGUAAUUAGGU